rnacentral:rRNA from 1 species
UGGGGAGGAUGCAAGCGUUAUCCGGAUUUAUUGGGUUUAAAGGGUGCGCAGGUUGUUUGAUAAGUCAGUGGUGAAAGUCUGUCGCUUAACGGUAGGAUUGCCACUGAUACUGUUAGACUUGAAUAUGGAUGAGGUAGGCGGAAUGUGUAGUGUAGCGGUGAAAUGCAUAGAUAUUACACAGAACACCGAUUGCGAAGGCAGCUUACUAAUCCAUCAUUGACGCUGAGGCACGAAAGCGUGGGGAUCAAACAGGA